rnacentral:misc_RNA from 1 species
UCUCCGUAGGUGAACCUGCGGAGGGAUCAUUCACGUUUUUUGAUCUAUAUUAACAACAAUUCUGUGAACUUGUAGCGAGGUGUUUAGUUGAGGGUGGGCUUUCUUUCUGAGAGAGUCUUACCUUCCUUGCCUCGUUGUUGUCAUCGCAAGAUGAUAACACCCCAUUUACACAACCCUUUGAGUUGUAUGUUUGCUUGAACAAAGUAAACACACAACACUAACAUUCGAUAGCCAAUGCGACUGGCAGUCCCUCAAAAGACCAACAGUCACAAAUCCAAAUAUAGAAAAACAACUCUAUGCCCUGGAUAUCUUGGUUCUC